rnacentral:rRNA from 1 species
CAACUGUGAAGAGACAUGAGAGGUGUAGGAUAAGUGGGAGGCCCCCGCGCUCGUCGCAAAGGGGCGCCGCCGGUGAAAUACCACUACUCUUAUCGUUUUUUCACUUACC